CCAAAGUCCUGGCAAUGAUGCGCGGUAAUACGGUGGGUGCAAAGGUUAAUCGGAAUUCCUUGGCGGAAAGCGUGCGCAGACGGCUUAUUAAGUCAGAUGUGAAAUCCCUAGGCUCAACCUAGGAACUGCAUUUGAAACUAAUAAACUAGAGUAUCGUAGAGGGAGGUAGAAUUCCAGGUGUAGCGGUGAAAUGCGUAGAUAUCUGGAGGAAUACCAGUGGCGAAGGCGACCUCCUGGACGAAAACUGACGCUCAAGCACGAAAGCAUGGGGAGCAAACAGGAUUAGAUACCCGAGUAGUC
rnacentral:rRNA from 1 species